rnacentral:rRNA from 1 species
AUACGUAGGUGGCAAGCGUUGUCCGGAUUUAUUGGGUUUAAAGGGUGCGUAGGCGGUUUGCUAAGCGGGAGGUGAAAUGCCGGCGCUCAACGUCGGAAGUGCCUCCCGAACUGGUGGACUGGAAUGACUCUGCCGUGGGAGGAAUGUGUAGUGUAGCGGUGAAAUGCUUAGAGAUUACACAGAACACCGAUUGCGAAGGCAUCUCACGAAGGGUUGAUUGACGCUGAGGCACGAAAGCGUGGGGAUCAAACAGGAUUAGAUACCCUGGUAGUCCACGCAGUAAACGAUGAUGGCUAACCGCUGGUUUAUUCGGAUCAGUGGCCAAGCGAAAGCGAUAAGCCAUCCACCUGGGGAGUACGACCGCAAGGUUGAAACUCAAAGGAAUUGACGGGG